AUUAUGAUAGCCUAAAGGCUCAGGACGCUCGCAUGGAAUGCAAGAGAUCCGGGUUCGACUCCCGGCCGAGAUA
rnacentral:tRNA from 1 species